CCAGACUCCUACGGGAGGCAGCAGUUAGGAAUAUUCGUCAAUGGGGGAAACCCUGAACGAGCAAUGCCGCGUGAAGGAUGACGGUCCUCUGGAUUGUAAACUUCUGUUGUUAGGGAAGAACGACCUAAGUAGGAAAUGACUUAGGAGUGACGGUACCUUUCAAGAAAGCUCCGGCUAACUACGUGCCAGCAGCCGCGGUAAUACGUAGGGAGCGAGCGUUAUCCGGAUUUACUGGGCGUAAAGGGAGCGCAGGCGGCGCGCCAAGUCUGAUGUGAAACCCCGGGGCUCAACCCCGGGCAUGCAUUGGAAACUGGCGGGCUGGAGUGCCGGAGAGGUAAGCGGAAUUCCUAGUGUAGCGGUGAAAUGCGUAGAUAUUAGGAGGAACACCAGUGGCGAAGGCGGCUUACUGGACGGCAACUGACGCUGAGGCUCGAAAGCGUGGGGAGCAAACAGGAUUAGAUACCCGUGUAGCU
rnacentral:rRNA from 1 species